UUCUCUUGCACGAUGAUGAUUCUUAUUGCUUUCUUUGAUUAUGUUUCUAAUCUUUUUAUCAUCUCUUUAGGGUUUUGCUCGAUUUAUUAACAUCUGAUCAAUCGUCGUUGAUCUUUAAUGAUCAACCCUAGUUGUUGAUCUUUUAUUGCGUCGAUUUUGCGAUUGAUCAAUCCAUUGAGGUAUGUUGUUUGUUAUCUACGCAUGCAUAUAUAUAUAUAUAUAUAUACAUAUAUAUCUUGUUAUUAAUGUGUAUAAAUCUUUUGGGUCUUUUGCUUACAUAUUUCGUAGAAUUCGAUUAUUGGUUUGUAUUUGGUCCGUAUGAAGUCUUCUUCGAACUCUGUAUUCUGUUUUUUUGGUAUUCUUGUAUAGAUUCCUUCUUGUUGAUCAAGAAGCAGAAGUCUGUGUAUAUCUUCUAAUGAAAUAAGGAAUGAUCUUGUAGAUAUCUGUUUUAUUUUCAUGUAAGUUUUGUUCCUUUUCUUUAUAUGACUAUCUUUUAAAUCUCCUAUCUAACCGAUGAUCUUCUUGUUAUGGUUUGGCUUGUCUUGUUCUUCUUAUCCGGGAGUGACGUUGAUCCUUAGCGCAUAUUUGGGAUGGAUUAAUGUUGAGUUUUCAGGCCUGUCCAUCGAGGUAUUACCUAUUGAUAUAGUCAAUAGAGGCGCAGCCGCGCAGGGACAAAAACACAUCUGAUGAUUCAACUAUCCUUGAUCUCAUAUAUCAUCUCUCGAUGAUGCUCCAAUCAACUCUAGUUGAUCUGAUCAUAUCAUCUCUUGAUGAUCUUCCAAUCAACCCUCAUUGAUUUUGUUAUCAUCUCUUGAUAAUGCUCCUAUCAACCAUCAUUGAUCUUGUUAUCAUCUGUUGAUAAUUAAUGCUCCUAUCAACCAUUGUUGAUCUUGUUAUCAUAUCUUGAUAAUAAUCCUAUCAACCAUCGUUGAUAUUGUUAUCAUCUCUUGAUAAUGCUCCAAUCAACCAUCGUUGAUCUUGUUAUCAUCUAUUGAUAAUGCUCCUAUCAACUCUCGUUGAUCUUGUUAUCAUCUAUUGAUAAUGCUCUUAUCAACUCUCGUUGAUUUUGUUAUCAUCUAUUGAUAAUGCUCUUAUCAACUCUCAUUGAUCUUGUUAUCAUCUCUUGAUAAUGCUCCAAUCAACCAUUGUUCAUCUCUUGAUAAUGCUCCCAUCAACCGCUGAUCUCCUAUAUCAUCUCUCGAUGAUCCUCGAAUCAACUCUAGUUGAUCUGAUCAUAUCAUCUCCCGAUGAUCCUCCCAUCAAGUCUUGUUGAUCUGAUCAUAUCUAAUGAUAUCAUCAACCCUCGUUGACAAAGAAAGGAAUAAGACUUAAAACUUGCAGAGGUUUUUGUUUGGUCUUUCCAACUGACCACAGAUGUAAAAGAAAGAAUAAGGAAGGGAGUUAUCUGACCUUUGCCAUGACAGGUGCGCUUGCUUGGCAGGUCUUUAUUUUUGGACAAACCUUCGGGAAGAGCUUAAGAAAAACGGAAGUGUGAUGGGAAGGAUUGCAAGAGUUCGUUAGGCCUUUUAUGUUGCAAGGGCAGAGCAACAAAGUUUGUGAAAGUGGGAAAUAUAGAUUUUUUUUUUUUGUAUCUUGAAUUCUCUGCACUCAAUAAUUAAUGUGUACAACAUGUAUUUCAUGGUUAAGAGUUACAAGAAUCUUACUCUGGUUCUUACAUGUACCUAAUUGAAACUA